UCUAGCCCAGGGCCUCGUGGGGAGGCUGGGCAGGAACCAGGCGGCGCGGCCCCCAGGGCGAUUAGGCAAAGGGCCCCUUCCUGCCGGCCUGUUUGCAUAAACCACCAAGGGCAGCCACCUCCUUCCGGCGGCUGGGCUGGGC